GACGAACGCUGGCGGCGUGCCUAAUACAUGCAAGUAGAACGCACAGUUUAUACCGUAGCUUGCUACACCAUAGACUGUGAGUUGCGAACGGGUGAGUAACGCGUAGGUAACCUGCCUGGUAGCGGGGGAUAACUAUUGGAAACGAUAGCUAAUACCGCAUAAUAUUGAUUAUUGCAUGAUAAUUGAUUGAAAGAUGCUAUUGCAUCACUACCAGAUGGACCUGCGUUGUAUUAGCUAGUAGGUGAGGUAACGGCUCACCUAGGCGACGAUACAUAGCCGACCUGAGAGGGUGAUCGGCCACACUGGGACUGAGACACGGCCCAGACUCCUACGGGUGGCAGCAGUAGGGAAUCUUCGGCAAUGGACGAAAGUCUGACCGAGCAACGCCGCGUGAGUGAAGAAGGUUGUCGGAUCGUAAAGCUCUGUUGUAAGAGAAGAACGGGUGUGAGAGUGGAAAGUUCACACUGUGACGGUAUCUUACCAGAAAGGGACGGCUAACUACGUG
rnacentral:rRNA from 1 species